AUUUGUCUGCAACAAAAAUUCUACUAUUUUUGCUAAAUUCUACUAUUAAACCAAGGAGCAAAGUGGCCUUUCUUUUUCAGGUUCUUACAAUGAUUUGAAUUGGUAAUACUUUUUUAUUUUUCCAUUUUAUGUGCUUUUUAGUCCAUUAUACCAUGAGUAUAAUAUGAGUAGAGGAGGAAAAACAUAAGAAAGUAUCAAGGAGGGAAAGAAAUUGAAUGGUUUAGACAGACAUCAGAGAAAAAGGAGAGGGGUCAUUCACAGAUUAGGCUGAUGGUAUGGAGACUGUUGCUGAUGAUGACCAUGAGUUCCAGAGGGCCCAGUGAAAGGAUUUUAGGUUUCACUUGGAAGGAUGGUGUGAUGGUUAAUUUUAUAUAUCAACUUGGAAGGUGUUUUGGGAUGAGAUUAACGUUCAAAUUGGUGAACCUUGAGUAAAAUGAAUUGCCUUCUUUAAUGUAGGUGGGCCUCACUCAAUCAAUUGGAAACCUGAAUAGAACAAAAAGGCUGGCCUCCGUGAGCCAGAAGGUACCCCCCCGCAGACUCCUUUCUAGACUUCAUCUGCACCAUUGGCUCUCCUGAGUCUCCAGCCUGCUGGCCCACACUACAGAUUUUGGACUUACCAGCCUCCAUAAUUAUUACAUUAGCCAGUUAGCUAUAAUACAUUUUUUAAAUAUAUAUCUCUCCUGUUGAUUCUGUUUUUUUUUUUUUUUUUUUUUUUUUAACUCUGACUGAUACAGGUGGAGUUAGGGGAAAGAGGUUGAAUGGGUGAGGUGUGUGAAGAGUUUUAUGUUGAUUAGUGCUCGAGAGGUAAGAGGUGACCUAAGAGAGAUGAAGGGCUGAUGUGAUUAAUCUCAGGGAUCUCAGGGCUCUAUGUUUUGUGGAGUAGGAGAGAACACUGAAGCUCAUUCUUCACCCAUGAUGAUGGGCUCAGAGGGCCUUCAUGGGUCAUGAGAUUGAUCCCAAUUCACAAUUCUCAUCUUAGCCUUGGAUGCAGAGAUGGAAGGUUUAAAAAGAUGUGAUCUUUACUGCUUAGAUUUACACUUGAACUUUUGGUGGUAAAGAGGUGAUCUUUCUCUAAGUGUACACGCGAAAUCAUGAACCCUGUUGAUGAACUAAAGGAAUUUUGGUAAAGCUGGGUGCACUAUCAAGAGCAUGAGUCUCUUCUCCCUAUCUAACAGAGAGUGAAGAGCCAGGAAAGCAUGACCUCAGACCCAGUGCACAGCCAGUAUUCUAAGUGCUGGGAGGAGAAUAAGGUAGGAAAAAUUCUGCCCUCACGAAGCUUACAUUUUCAUGGAGGAAGACAAUAAAUAAAGCAUUAAACAAAAACUAAGAAAUUUCAGAUAGUACUAAGAACUAUCAAGUAAAUAAAAUAGGCUGAUUUGCUAGUCAAAGAGUAGUCAAGGAAGGACUUUUUGAAUAUAACAUUUGAUGUAGACCCUUGGGAGAUUCAAAUAUACACCUUCUUUUUGCAGAGAAGUAUAAUGUUAAGUAGGAGGAAAGGUAAUAAAGCUGAUAAUUAGAUAUUUCUUGUAAGAAAAUCAUCUAGAGAAGCCAAAUGUAUCAGGAGUUUCAGCUGCCUCUUUCCUCAGGAAGCAAAUGAGGAAUGGGUUCAUGGAGCAAUUGUGUCCUCUAAACUCCCUAGACUGGCUCAGUAAAAGUGGGAAGAGAAGUCCCUGUUGACUUCCAGCAGAGAGAUGGGGUAGCCAAGUGCAUCAGAAAGAGAAGAAAGAAUAUAGGGAACAGCAUGGUGAGAGGCCACUGUUUGGAUUGGAGUAGGAGGGAGCAAUGUUAGAGGCAGCUGUGAGUUUGGAACUUUGGGGAAAGGAAAAAUGACUAAAUAGAAUAUUUGAGAAAAAUCUUUAAAUCGGAUGGCAAAGACUAGGAUAAGCUCGGUUUGUUCCUGGGUUAGUUUCGGUCUAUUCCUAUUGGUCCAACAAGAUUUUUAAGAGAAAUUUCUCAUUUUCAAAAACACUGCACUUUGGACAGAUUAUAUGUUUACAUUACUGUAUAAAACCCCUCAGCUGCCCUCUAUGAAAACCCACAGCAAAAAUUUACAUCAUUUUUGAGAGUUUGUAGAGUUAAAUUUAUGGUCCCUUUGAAUGUCACUGUAAGUAAGACAGGACUAUUUGGGGCUCUGACUCACGUGGAUUAUAAAAGCACUUACUGUGACAUUUAAAAUUGGAAUUUGUCCAUCUUUAUUUGAUUUUUAUAGAAAUAGUUUAUGGUCAUCCUGCAAUGAAGUGAAGGUGAAGGAGGCCUAGGAAAUAAAUAAACACAUUUUUAUAUGAAAUACACAUUGGAUAUAUAGGGAAAU
rnacentral:lncRNA from 1 species